rnacentral:lncRNA from 1 species
AAUAAAAGAGAGAAUUAAAAAAAAUUAUGUUAGAAAGAUAAUUUAUUUACAAGGAAAAAUAAUAUGACUCAAUCUAUUUUGUAAUUCCUAAAUGAGAUAAUUAAAUUGUGAGAAAUGAUAGGUACACACCAAAAAAUGGGUGUGUACAAGACACACCUACUUUUUGUAUCUCACAAAUAUAGUGGGGCCCGCUCUAAUUAGGGUUUGUAGCAAACUCUAAUUAAGACGGCCCCACUGUGUAUGUUAGAUAUAAAAGUAGGUGUGUACAAUACACACCCAUUUUGGACUGCGUACCUAUCAUUUUUCUUAAAUUGUUGGAGGGAAUAAAAAAUCAGAUUUCUUCUCAACAUUUAAAUCUUAUUUCAACCUAAUAGAGUACAUUUCAACAGAACACUUCUGGAUCGAAAUCACAUUUUCAUUGCUCCUUAAUAUUACUGUCAUCCAAACACAAAUCUUAGAUUAUCCUGUCCUCUGCAACAAACAAACAAAACCUCUCAAUACACUACUUAGUAAUUUUCAGUACACCUUCCAUCUUUUUCUUCCUUUUUCAUUCACAAAUCCUAACCAUUGUUGUCUUGAGCACCACCAUCGUACCACCUUCUCUUCUUCAUUUCUUCCUCCGUCUAUCUUCUCUUUUCCUAUUCUUUCCUCUAUUGAACCGUGUCGCCAUGAAAACCGCUUGCCCUACGUCCGUCCAUUUCCAAUGUCCAUGUUCAUAUCCAUCACAACACCAUAAAACUUCCACCACCUAACAUUAUGACCUCACCCUUCCGACCACCCUCACCGUCUCCGCUCCCUAAUCUCGAAGCUCCUUUAACCUAGCUCCCUCACUGUUGAGAGGGUCCCCACACUCAAAUUUUACCUUUCACAGAUUUAAUGUAAUAAUUUGCAGAUGGUACAACUUUUUAUAUAGCUGCAGCAAAUCCAUUUGUAGCAUGUGGUGCAAGUGAAACACGUGAAAGUUAAAAUCUAUGCCACUUCUUUUUUUCUUUACAUGUUUUACUUUCACUGCUUGAUUCACUUGCAUUGGACAUGCGAUUCACUUGCACUCGAUCAUGUAAAAAGUUGCACCAUUUGUAAAUCGGGAUGAGAGUGGAGUAGGAGGGUGAGGAAACAAUGUUGGUUGGAUGGUGGCAAUGGGAAUAGUGUUAUAGUAUCCAUGAGGCGAUGGACAUGGUAAUAACAAUAGAGUCUGAAUAACGAUACCUAGGUUUUGUGAAUAUUUGAGGAUGGAAAAAAAAAAGGUUGGUGUGCUUAGAAUUCUUAAGGGGUUUAUCGAGAGAAAUUAUUUUGAGUAGAAUUAUAACUAUUAGGGUUUACACCCUGAAUUAUAUUGGCUCUCAUCCUUGUUGUGUUUAAGUUUAAAGAAUAUUGAAUAGAAUUGUUAAUUCUCAACUAAGUUUUUGUUAAUGAUUGUAAAUUAUUGGAAAUUAAAGAUAUUUGUGAUAAUGUACUUAAAUUUUUUUUUAAACAAGCUUUCUUAUGUAAAAGUUUAUACACAUUUUUUUCAUCUCGAAAGUUAAAAUCCUAAAUCUAUCUCUAUACGGAGAUUGUGACGUGACUGGGUCAUACGUGUAACUUUGUAAAUUAUUCCUUGUCAUUGAUAAAGCUAGUUAUAAGUCUAUAACAACUAGAGACUAGCCAUAACAACUACAGGCUACAGCUUCUUAAAAAUUUAUCCCUAAAACGUGAAUAAGAUAUUGACAAAAUGAUUUGAAAAACAACUUCUGCAAAAUUAAUAUUUCGAACAGCAAUCAAAAGUUUGUAGAACUUGCAGGUACGUCCCCAUGAAACAACAUAACUAUUUGAUCCAUAUAAUAAAUUAUAAGAAAAAAAUGUCCUCAUAGAGCUUGAACUUUGCCUACAAGAAUGCUCAAAAUGAUUCCCAAUUUCUUCUUAUAUAAUCAUUUGAUUUAUUACGUUCUCAAGCUCUUCAAGAUCUUUCAAAGUAGAUCAAUAAUAUAUGAGAGAGAGAGAGAGAUAUUUGAACACCAAAAGUUGUGAAUCACAAAUUGACGAGAGAGAUGAAAUCUAAGGGAGAAAAUAAAAUGAUUUGGGGUAUGUAUCAAUGGGAAAACAAAAUUAUCUGAAGAGGGACAAGUAAAAAAAUAAAAAAAAAUCUAAAAUAAUAUUUUAAAAAAUUGAUGUGGAAAACAUAUUAUAAUGAAAAUUUUAAAAAUUAUUUUGUUCAAAAAAGAAAUAGAAAAAAUAAAAAAAUAUCUGAAAUGUUUUUUCAUAAAAUUUAAAAAUAAAAAAAACUACAGUAACAUGCAGCUAUUGGGAUUCACCGCCACAACACGAAAUUCUAACCACGAAACUACAUCACGAAAAGUUGGCAUAAAAUAUUGUAUUUUUAUUUAUUUAAUGACUAUAAAUCAAUCUUAUUUUGUUUCAAUUUGGAGGGAUGUAACUUGUGAAUACCUUAUUUAUUGUCAAGUGAGGUAAGAUAACUUGGGUUCCAUGGCUGGUUUUUUUAAGAAUUUUAUGAAAACGUUUCGGAUAUUAUAAGAAAAAUAUUGCAGAAUUAAGACCCAAUACUUUCAAUUUGAAUAAUCAAGAAACUAUACUUUCAAUUUCGUGCCAAUUAUUUCUUCCGUCAGUAUUUGUUAAAAAUUUGUAUAGAAAGGGAGUAGAUAGAAACUCACAUGACCAUUUUUAUAGGGUAAUUAUACCACCAUUAGUCCAUGUAGUUUGACCACAAUUUUUAUUUUGGUCUCUAAAAAUGGCUAUGUGAGCUUCUAUUUACUUAUUUCUAUAUAAACUGCUAAUAAGUAUUGACGGAUGAGCUAUAUUGAAAUCAAAUUUAAACUACAAGAUUUUAAUUGUUUAGAUUGGAACUAUAGGGACUAAAAUAACACUUUGGUCAACUGGAGGGACCAAUGGUGAAAUUACCUUAUUCUUUCCUGUUUUUUACUGACUAAAAAACCAGUUCUAUUAACUUUAUUUUUUUUUUCCGUUCAAUAAGGUGAAUGCAUAUAAUGCUUCCAACUUUGAAUUGCUUUUAAGUAUGGGCAAGAUGUUAGUUUCUUUAUGCAAGUUGACUUUCAGUCUUUUAUUAAUUAUUAUUAUAUCCGUAGUCUCCCAAGUCUUAGAGUGAGAGAGAGAAAGCCGAGAGCGAGAGACAGGGCCCAUCGGCCAAUCUCUUCCCGCUGGCCAAACGAACCACCACUCCGAUCUCCUCUCUUCACCCACACUCUCCAACACCUUUUCACCUCACCAGCAUAGCCGCCACCUCCUCCUUCCAUCGCACCCACGCACACAGUGGAGGUCCCGAGGGGGCGGGCGGGGAUAUGAUCCCCCUAACAUUUGAAAAAAAAAAAAAAAAAUUUAAUUUUUUUAUAUAUUUUUUAUUAAUUUUGUUCGCUCUCUAAAUGUUUUUACGAAAUAUCCAUUGAAAAUGUAUAAUUUGCCCCCUCAACAAAAUUCCUGUGCCCGCCGCUGCACGCAAGCACGCGGCGACCAACACGACGAGCCCAUCCACCUCCGACCACCAUUCAACCUCCAUCCACCACCAUCGUGUCCGCCUCAUCCUCAGGAGUCUCUCGGUAUCUUCUGCGACGUCGAUACAUGCAAGCGAGCCUUCUAGGUGCCUCCAGCAGACUCUGUGAAGUUUCCUUUCCGCCACUCAGAUCAGCCACACUGCCUCCCUCGGACGCCCCAACCACGUUUUACCUCCGUGAGCAAACCUCCAUUUUUCCGACUAUUUCAUUGGACACCUGAACACAUGCACCAACACAUUUUAUAGCUAUUCUAGUUACAUUUUUAAGCUAGAAUAUGGUCAGAGCUCCGGGUGAGCUUCCGGUCAAUUUUUUUUCCGGUGUGAUGAACGAAGUCCGGUUUGCCAUUUUUGGUUCCCGGUAGCUCGUUUUAGGCAUGCAUGGCCAUACCGAAGCUCAAAUAUUUUAUUUAGAUCUGUUUAGUAUCGUUUUUAAUAUUUUCAUGUGAUUGGGUCAGGUUUGGGGCGGAGCAGAAUUAAGGGUAAGGGGGCUAAAGUAUAAAAAAAAAAAUUAGUGUACAAUUUGUAAAUUUUUAGAAGUGAGGGGUACUGCCCCUGUUCCCGAACGUUCUGGGCAAUUCCGAACUGAUUUGAAUGCAAAUCUAUGAGUUCCGAUAUACGUUACUUGAAAUUUGGUCUUUGGUAAAAAUAAUAAUUCUGGGAUGUUAAAAGAAGCAAAAAAAUGAAUCUGAAAUGCAAAAACGAAGGCCACGUAUGUUUUACAUAAAAAUGCAUAAAUUACAUGUGUCCCUAAACCUUUCAUAAAAUUAGGUAAACCCACAAGAGAAUUGUUCAGCAUGCUACUUUUUUGUUUAUGUUUUAGAGUUGUAUGAGGUUAUUGUGUUGGAUUUGGAUUUGUGACAUGGUGUUUUGUUUAUAUUAUGUAAUUAGUUUUAGUAAAAUUGCAUAACUGUAACCAAAAUCGAUGUCUAAUAAAAUUCGGCCAGGGAUAUCUAUUUUAAAAAUGAGAAUGAGUUUGAGUAUGAUUUUUGUGUAGUUUUGAAUAUCUAAUUGGGGUGUGAGACACCCAUUAAUUAUUGAUGCAAUCCUUUGAGGGUCCGAACGCUGGGAUGGAAAAACAUAUCAAUAGGUAAGAAGUUCCUAGGUGGAAAUGUAUGUUGAGAUUUGAUAUCAAUGUCACUUUAUUGGGGUCGCUCGUGACAUGGCAACCUUACUAGAUAUGGCAGCGUCAUACAAUUAUAUAUAUUGUUCACUGAGAGAAUAUGGAUCUAGUUGGUAUUUUGUUUAAUCAUACCAUCGGCAACCAUGUUAUAUUAUCAUUGGCUAUGUUUAACUUCUCGGUUUUACAAAAGAUUAAAUUGGAUUUAUUUUUUGAAAUAUUUGCAUCUAGUUUAAGUUUACAGCAUUAAGAAUCCAUGCUAAACUAACAACUUUUGUAUACUUAACUUACACGAGUUUUAUUUUAUGAAAAUAUUUUAAACCCUUUUUAAAUGAUGAGAUGUGAGUCGAGGCGAAUAUUUGUUUUGUGGAGUUUUUACUAGUUUUGUUUAAAUCUUAGUUAAUAUCUCUUUCGUUCCUUUUUUGGGUUGUAAAUACUAAUCUGGAAACUUAGUUUACUUAUGUUGUUCUGGUUGUAAUAUCCAGCUCAUUGUACUUUACUUUUGGGUCUGUUCUAAACUACUUUUUUGUGACGGAUUAUGGAUGAUGAUUGUAUAUAUUUGGUUAUCGACUUUUGAACCUUGGUGAGUUGAAUUACGUUUCUUAGUAUUACACAUUUAGUAGCUUUAGAGAUUAUUUGAACGUAUAACAUGCACUCUUUUAUUAUUAUUACUAUUUAUAAAUCAAAUUGUGUGCCAAAAUCGGAUAGUUUAGGCAUGACAAGGGUGUCAUUCACUAGCCGAUGAUGACCCAUUUUUUGUAGCUCAAGUUUAGGCCGUCAUAAAAACAUCAAAUCCACACACACCCAAAAAAAUUAUUUUUCUUUUGUAAAAAGAUACCAAAAUAAACUUAAUACAAACAAACCUUAAACUUAUCUUUCAUUUUCUAUUUAUUAUUAAUUUAUAAAUUCAUGCAUAUUUAUUAAAUUUUUAAAUCGUUGUAAUUUUUCCUAAUCUAAUCUCUUAUUUUUUUAUUUUGGUUUAUUUAUUAUGGUUGUAUUUAUUUUUAUGAAUGUUGCGUAACUUGCGUUGUGAAUUAUAGCCGGUUCUUGUAACUGACUACUAAUCAUUAAGACCUGCAAAAGGCUCCCACCUACCUACCUAUAUCUCUCUCUAGAUUACCUACCUCUCUCUCUAGGUUGUUGGGUUCUCACUCGCGGAAACCUUGCUAUAUCUUCCCAAUGUCCAGAUUCAAACCUCUCAUGACUUCUCUUUCUGGUUUGAUGGCAGGACAUGCGCUCUCUCGGGUGCUUGGGGUUGAGGGCAGCAGCACACAAUAGAUGGAUUGCCAUACUUGUACUCUUUGGGUAAGGUACUAUGUCUCCUUCCCUCUCACCAGUACUUAUUUACUACUUACUUACUGUGUGGUGGGCCGGAUUUCAAUCGCCUUCCAUACGAAUUAUUACGGCCGCCGACGGUCCGUCCUUUCUCCUCUUCUGUUUUCGAAUUCGUUAUUAAUCUCACAUUCUUCUUUCCCUUAUCUCGUUUGGGUAGUGUUUCUCUCUAGUCUCUCUUUCUUCUUCAACGAAUCAAAUUCUGUCCUAAUUUGGUUUGGUGAAGAGAGGUCAGGACGCCCUCGAUGCAAAACGGUCCCCCCCCCCCCCCCCCCCCCCCCCCCCCCACCCCCCUCUCUCUCCUCCUCAAUUCUUGGGUGGGUUGGCCGUAUUUUCAAAUCGCCUUCCAUCGAUUGGUUAUCGGCCGCGCCUCGUCCUUCCCUCCUGUUUCGAUUCGCUUAUUAUCUCACAUUCCGACGAGUCUUCUUUCCCUAUCUCGUUUGGGGCACGUGUUCUCUCUAUUCCCUCUUUUUUUUCUCUCGUCGAAAUCAAAUUCUGUCCUAAUUUGGUGUUUGGGGAAAGAGAGGCCGUACUCCGACUGACAACGUCCCCCCCCCCCCCCCCUCUCGAUUCUUGGUGGGUUGCCGGAGUUUCAAUCGCCUUCCAUCGAUAGUUACGGCCGCUGACGUCGUCUUCUCUCCUCUGUUUCGAAUUCCGCUAUUAUCUCACCUUCUUCUUUCCAUGUCUCGUUUGGGGUUGUUCUCUCUAUUCGCUUUCUUCUUCAUCGAAAUCAAUUCUGUCUAAUUUUGGUGUCGGUGGAAGAGAGCAGUACCUCCGACUGCAAAACGCUCCCCACCCCCCCCCCCCCCCCCCCCCUCUCUCGCUCUCUCAAUCUUGGGUGGUUGGCCGGAGUUUCAAUCGCCUUCCAUCGAUUAGUCGAUGGCCUCUUCUUUCUCUGUUUCAAUCGCCUUCCAUCGAUUAGCAAUGUAUUAUGCCACAAACCCACAAGCCCAGAGAAAUCCUCUUUGACUGGGGUAAAGAUGAAAACUAUCUAUAACUUUGGACAAUCUUUAAUCCUUUUUUUAUGUAAAAUUUAAUGGGUUGUUUUCUUUUGUAUUUAGUCACUUAAUUACGUUUAAUCUUUUGUAUAUUUUGAUUGUGGCUGAUCUUUAAUGCUGCCUCUUGAAUUUCGACUAGAAUGUUGCAUUAUCUAUUACAUGGAAUGUUCAGGCAAAUUAUGCUUGUAGCUCUUCCUGGUUGGGGCUUAUGAUCAGGUGCGUGUCCUUAUAUAUGCAAUCAUUCAUAUGAUGAUUUUUUUUCAAAGACUAUAUUGGUUUUGAUUUUCAAAUUUGUUUGGGUUUGAUUGAUUGUUUGUUUAUUGCUAUUAAAGUGAUAUUUGUUUGUCAAAUUUAUAACUCAGCGGACGGUAAAUAAGUAAAGGGGAUUGCUAGUGAACUGGGCUUUCGUCUCUGAAAACAACACACGUCUCAGGAAAAUAUGGAGAAAUGAAAACAAUUACUGACAUACACUUUCAGUGUUUUAUAAAACUGGGAUGUGUGUGUUAAGAAAUUCAAAACAAGUUUUGUAGAAACAAUUUCGGAAAUAAACAAUUUUCCAGUUUUUUAGAAAAUAAAAUCGAAAACGAAAACAAUAACAAUAUGAACUACAUACAGAUUUUGGCUUGGUAUCUCUGCCUUCUGAAGAUGCUCCACUUCUGCUACACCUUCCAUCUAAUCAUUCUGGCAUAGCAAAUGAAAUUGCAACAAUUAUUAAAUCACCAAUCUUAUUUGCGUAUCUUUUCGUAAUUUAUUGGUAAAUUUUGUUUCUCAUUUUAUCAGCAACCUCGUAACUGAUUUGCAGUUGGGGACGUUGUGUGGAGUGAGGUUUAUGGCUACCAGGCAGCCCAUAUGGAACAAAAUGUUACAAGUGAUGAGACACGUAGACCCUUCAUAAUUCCUUCAUGUGCAUUUGAAAAACCUCAAUAUUGCUUUUGGCUCCAACACACUUUCAGAUAUUGCUUUCACUUUUUCAUGUUGGUACCAAAAUGAAGUUGCUGACCGUUUCAGACUUUCCAGAGAACAUUAACUUCUUGGAAUCUUAUUUUUACACUAAAGCAGUCAACUGGGUUCUUAUUAUGUUUUGAACAAAGUUUAUAAGCUCCUGGCAUGCAUGGCUGUCCUCUAAUUAGUGUUAUAUUUUAAUCAGCUGAUAUUUUUAGUUAAAUGUAACAUCAUGUGUCCGUAUUUGCCAUUUGCCUAACCAUUAUCUUCUGCGAAAUGAUUGAAAUAGCUUAGUUGUACCUUUCCAGUCCAUUGCAAGCUGAUGUUAGUUUUCUGUUGAGAAUGGCUACUAAAAAUUGCUAAAAAUGUUUGUAAAGCUGUUCACAUUACUAAGUUACCUAUAUAGUUUGGCAACUUCCCCACAACUUUGUGUUGUACAACCUACCUAGUAAAGUAUUGACACAGCACAAAUACGCACACCAACAAGCAUUGUCUUUGGCAACACAUUAUAAUUUUAGUGGAAGCAAUGGCCAUAAGCUGGGGGGCAACCUGCAAAGGACAGUCACUGCGAAAAAGAGAUCUCCCACUAAACAAAGGAGAGAGUCUGUGGCGGGAUGGGGUGGGACUCAGUGGAAGGACAAAUCCAGAUGUCUUCUACAGUAAUUUGCUCGAGUGUGUUAACGGCCUAAGUGCGAUAGAAGGCUUUGACUGUGCCCAUUUCCGACGGUUAUUUUCUUCUCGGAGAUUUUUUUUCUUUCAAACACAGGACAUUGGUUUAGAUUUGAUAGCAGAUUCUAAAUAUAGAAAAUUUAUGGAGGAGAUCACCGUCUUACUCAAACAGAAUGGAUGGGUUGCUCCUCACUUCCCAAAGGAUGGACAAUUUCAUGCUUUACAUGCUAACGGACAGGCAAGAAGCAAUCGCCAGAUGGUUGGAAUUACCGAAGAAUAGAAGUAAUGACGGAAAUAGCUAAAGCUAGAUGUGCAUUUGAAUUGGAUCAGCCAUGGGUGGCAUGAAGGUAUGAUGACUUGCUCGGCCAAGGAAUGAAUCAUGACCUUAAUGUUCCUUGUUCAUAUUUGCUUUCAUGUGGUUUCCAUGUGUGAUGAAGAGGCAUCCAAAGAUAAGGGUCAAGCACAUAAAAGACUGUAAUUUCAAAUAGCAUAGUUUUUGAUUCUCAAUUUUUAUGCAAAAAUUAGGAGUGUGGUCGUGUUCUAUGUGUUUUGUUUCCAUUUGGAUCUGGAGAACCAUUGUCAGUAAAGGUGUCCAGUCCAGUGUGGCCUACAUGAGAGCACAAAUGCAGGCUUGAACGGUUGAACCAAAGAACGUCAUCAAGGACAUAAAAACUAUCAACAUACUACUUGAUCAUCACUGGAACCCAAGGUAUUUGAUUUUGGUCUCGCCCAAGCUCGAGUGACGGAAACAUUUUAGGUUUAGUUCAUUCCAUGCUUAAACUUUAGGUUGUAGUGAUUCGAGAUUUCUUGUUCUAGUGGGAUUGUGGGAUAAUGUUUGUCUUUAAUAGGUAAAAUUAAUUAUAACAUACAAUUUUUCUAUUUAUGUAAGCACCAGACGAUGCUUCUACUGGUAUGCUGAAUGAGACAGUGAUGUCUAUAGUUUUGGUGUUAAAUACCCGAACAGCGAAAAACUGGUAUUAAAUUAGUAACUAAAUUAAUCUUAGUUAAUUUUAAAUGCAACUAAUAUUUUGUAAAAAGUUUUAAAUCAAGUGUCAAACGGAGCACGAUAAUACGAAGUAUGGACGUGUGACACGUGGCACCACCAUGUGAGGGGAUUGGUGGGUGUGGCCGUGGUGACGUGCAUGAGAGACCGUGGAAUUAAAUUGAAGCCAUUAAUAUGUUUGUGGAUUCAAUUGAAAUAUUUCAUAACUUUGAGAUAAGUUUAAAGAUAUAUUCGAUAAUGUAAUUACUUAAAGUUUGAGGGGCUGAAACGUAAUUUUGCCACGUAAUUGGGUCGUCAUGGCAGUAGUGUCAUUUUUCAAGUCUUCUUGCUAUUAUGAUCUAUAUAUAAAUUAGCCUAAGAUAAAAGACAAAAGAAAAAACAGAGAAUUAAGAGGAAACGAAAAAGCACACUAUUCUUCAUUUAAACGGUAAAUAAUUUUUUCCUACCCCUCUCCAACCGAACACACAAACUUCUUCUAUACUGCUAUACUUUCCUCAUACCUAUGUUAAUACACAUACAUAACAAAUUAAUACAUAUACUAAACGUUAACACAUAAGAAAAAAAAAUAAAAAAAAACGAGGACAGAAGGAACAGAAAGCUAGAAGAAGAAAGAAAGAGUGAAAAGGAAAACUAAGGGCGGUAUUAGUUUCCGCCGAGGUAAUUUUAAAACUCAUCUCUGUAAUUGUUAAAGCCUUAUUAUGAAUCUCGUAUCUGGUUUAGGUUAAAACCGCUAAAUACCCCGAAAAAAUUAUACUAUACGUAGUUUUUUUAAAUCAAUAGGUGAAUUCGGGAAUUAAUUUUCACUGGAACAAGCCGCGGUAUUUUGAUACUAACUUUUCCAUAAACGAUAUCCGAUAUUACUUGAUUAAAUGCGUUAGAAAAGAUAUGAAAUAUCUAAACUUCAUUACAACAUUUCGUGAAUUCAGGAACUUAAAUGGUCCAAAACGAUCAUGCAAUCUGACUGUCGAAACCGGACGGACUGGUUGAAACAGAAGUUUACGAAUUUUGUGAAAUAGUUACGCCUGUUAGAAAAUUAUGAAAAUUUCUAUGUAUACAAUAUUAACGCUAAGUUAUUGUAUAUGUAAUUUCAUGAAUUUAUAAAAUGGUUUAGAUAGGUCGGAAUUAAUUUAUAAUUAAGUCCUGUCAAUGAAAAUCAUAAACAGGAAAUUGGGAAGUUGGCGAAUUUUGAAAAGAGUUAGCCAACUUAAAAUAUAUGAUUGAAUUUUUUGUAACUGUACGUAAAUAAAUGUGGCUAGUCUAUAUGUAUUAAAGUCGGAGUUCAAAUUAAAAUAUGAUGAAUUUUAUAGAAAUUAAAUUCCAAAUGGUGUUUUUUAAAAAAUUUUAAACUGUUUGCAAAAGAAAAUUAGAUUUGUUAAACUUUUGUUAAAAUUUUAAAAUUGUGUAAAAAUGUUACUAUAUUAAUCGGGGUCGCAAGGAGAAUUUAAAUCUGACGUUCGAAUAUUAAACGUAGGACCGAAUUCCAGGAACGUUAGUUCAGAACGUUAGAUUGCGGGGUAGAAAAGAUUGAGCAUAUUUCCGGUGAGUAUUGUUAUGUAUUACAUAGAUAAAAGUGACUGUUUUAAUUGUGAAAGAUGGCUUGUGUUAAAACUGACAUGUUUUAUGGUUAAAGAUGCUUGUUUUGAUAUACCCUGACAUUAUGAAAAUGAUAUUGUUGAAAUGUAUGUUAAGUCGACACAUAGUUCAUACAGAUGACCCGGCGCUGGGGGGAGAAUAUAGGUGGUGAUGUAAAAGAGAUCAUGACCAGAUGAUUGUGGUGAAUUCAUACAAAAAGGUUUAGGGUCGCUCCCUAUGUUUGUGUCGUGAACGGUUUAGGUGUGUCGCAAAUGUCAAUCGUAAAUGAAUGUAAAACUUGAGUAUAGUUGGCGUACCUGAGCCAUGAGUCCCGAGGAGGGAUGAUUUUUUAUUAAAAUUGUAUCUUGACUGAUAGUCAAGGGAUGGCCUAGGUGCGUCAUGGAUUGACAAAAAAAGUGAUUUAAUUCUAUGUUGUAAAUGAAACAUGAUUUUUAAUAUAUUUUCAUGGGUGCAUGUAGUUUUAUAUCACAUAACUCAAAAUAAGCCUAGUGCUUAAGACGUUCGACGUAAAAUCAUUUCAGGGUAUGAAAAUGCGGAGGACGCGACUGAGGGCAGGGACCCUAGGUACCGGUGUUUGAUAGUCUGUAUGUCCGGAUAGUAUAGGAACUUUAGUUUUGAACCUCUGUAAGUUGGGAACUUGUAUAGUUAAACUGCUACAAGUAGUAGUUGACGGUUGUGCCUGUUUGUGGCCAGAACCGGUGGUUUUAUAUCGAAACAUGACGAUAGUUGUAUAUAUGACACGCCAGCUAUAUUUUUAUUGGAUGCUUCCGAUGUAUUCAUUCAAGCCAAUGUAUGUUGAUGAGUUAGUAAAUCCCUAAAUGAAUGGUUGAAAGGCCUUAGUGGAUGGGAUUUCACUGGCCGGUCAGUGGCACCUGUAUUUAUUGGUGGGGACCGGUAUAAGGGUCGGGUCGUGACAUUGGAAUACUUAUAAGGGAGUUCAUUCUGGAAGAAGCCUAUGGGAUAUAGUCGACCAACAGGGAGAGGUAUCUGAAGAUUAUGGUCCCAAUUUUCACCUUAUUUCCUCCGGCGUUUCUAAAAUCUGAAGUGAAAUAGUAAUUUCAGGUGAAUUGGUUUGACGGGUUGAAGACUGGUUGGACAUGAAAAUCUGAGAAGUGGGAUCCAAAGUUGCCGAGAUGCUGCUUCAAAAGCACUUAACGUGGUCUAUUGUACUUCGAUGCGUUGAUCCUAUGCUUCAAAAGACCUAAAAUGGGACAUGUGAUCACUGAUCGAGCAGAUGAUUUGUCUAGUCGUAAGUAGCCACCAUUCAUCUUCAAGAAUUGUAUUUUCAAACUUCAAAAGUUUUUGAUUGCUGAAAUUAUACCAACUCUCGUUUCUGUGAAUUUUUAUAGGAAGAUGAAUGUUAAGAGGAUCUUCCCGUCCCAAAUGAUUUAAAGAAAGAGAAUCCUUGCUGUUUCAAAAGCAGGUGAUAAGCAGUUUGGUAAAAAAUGUUUGCUACAAGUGAGUGGAUGCUAAUAGGAUACACGACCAGCUUACUAGUUGGAGAUAAAUAACGGUACUGUGAAUAGCUGUUCAAGUGUAUUUUUCACGGAUAUGUAAAUCUCUUUUUUCUUACACCUAAUUUUCAUGAUGUUCAAUUCGUCUACUAUUUGAUAAUCUUUAUUUGCGAUAGUUAAACAAUUCAAGCAUCAAUUACACAAAUUUAUGUUAUUUGUUGAUAAUUUUUCCUUAGUUAUGAAACAAGAUUCAUGUUGGAUAUCGGGCCAGGUCACCCACGGUGGUAUGACCCAUGACAUAUAAUUUGGAUAAGGAUGGAUAGUUAUUGGUGGUUACUUGACCAAUUCUAUAUAUGGCGCAGAGAAGCAGAUUCAUUCUGGAUUCUUACAUCAUGUUCUAAUCGAUUACUUCUUUAGGGCGUUUUGUAAAUUGAGCAGGUUUCAAUGAUUCUAUAAAAAAGUUUAAAGAUCUACACAAGAAGUUGAAUCCUUUUUGUUGUACCUUUGCGACUACAAAUAUGGGGUCUGCAAUGCCGCAAUGGAUCUGGUUCAGCUUAAAAUCAUGUUGUUGCUGAAAGUUAAAAUGUUAAAAAAUCUGUUGACUUAUUAAUUAUUUCUUGAUAAGUCCUGUUUGUAGCUGCUCAGUUAACAUAUUCACUUGCAGGGUGGAGGGCCCAAAACUAUUCAAUCUCAACUGCUUUGUGCCACAAGCAAAUUCUGCAUAUUAAAUUCAGCAACCAUAUUUAUCCGGGAGAAGCUGAAGAUCUUUUUGUUCUUUCUAUGUUGGAGUUGUAGAAGCUUAAGUUUUCUAUACAUGUUUAAGAAUACUGCAUACUGACUGAUUUCCAGUAUGUGUUCAGACUAUGCAGGACAUGAUGCUUUGUGUGGCUUCAGAUGCUUGCCACGUCAUACCAAUUGGUUUAAUUUUUGUUUUUAAGUCCCGCCUCUUAUUUUUUUCUUGAUUGGUCCGAGGUUAUUGAUUUCUAUAUAUAACUGUUUGCGUGUAGGAUUGGGGAGGGUUAUGGCAUGCCAAACUGUAGAGCAGUUUCUCAGAGGAACAGUAUCUGCAAAGUCUUCAUGCCCAUGGGAAACAUUGUAAUAUUGCAUUGCUUUUAUUCCCAUUUCGUGUUCUUGCUUAAUCUUCAACUAGUCUUUAGGAAAGAAUUUAGUGCUCACUAUCGGACAUGGAUGGUAAAAAUACUGCGAAUCAUAAUUGAGGCAUAGUAUCUGCAAUAUUCUGUCUGUCUUAUUGUUCUUUCCUUCUUUUUUGCUGGGGCCUGGUCUAUCAACCAGAUAGUGGCUUUAAGAAUCUGUAAAAUUUCACAAGGUUCCGUAUUAUUUGUCAUUAAAAUGUCCGGCAAUUGUUAUGUUUCUUUAGUAUAGAAUAUUUGUGUCAAUGAAAAAUUUAUAUAUAUUCAGUUGUUCAAUUUAUGUUGAGGAGAGUCAGACUUGGAAAAUCCCAAUCCUGUUUCUUUUCUUCUUUCGUGUUCACUUACGAGCAAAAUGAUUAACCUAACAGAGCUUCUUUCAUUUGAACAGAACCGUGAUGGAUUUGUUUAUGGGCAAAGAGCUGGAGUUUUCUUAUCUGGAAGACCUAGAACAGGUUAAGGUUAUAUCAAAGUGAUUUCAUCAAACUCCUAUAGCAGAAAUUUAAUCUCUAUUCUAAUUUCUGUCUACUUUUCCCAGAAAAGAGGUUGCAAAUAUCUAUGCAGAAUUUCUGGGGGGAAGGCUUCACAUUGAUGCUUACCACAUGGACAGAGCCUUUAUCCUGAAGGAAUGUGCAAAAUCUAUGUGUAGUGAUAAUAUACAAAAAAAAAAAAAAUUCCACUUGCAUUUGACCUCAGAGAAUCUUACAGAUGAAUGAGGGAUAUAAAGUCGUUCUUAAGUUGUUUCCAUUUGUUUUGUCAAACGUACGAAUUUUUUUUUAUUUUUUGUACCUUUUAUGUAUCUUAUUCUUUGAGGAAGAGGGGCAAGGGAGGGUAAUUAAUCUAGGUAUUAGGUUUGGGUGUAUAUUACGAAUAGAUAGAUUUUUCAUAGCUGGUAUGGAUUUUGGUCUGAAUCAAUCAUUAUAGUGUUGGAUUUCAUUUCCGAACAUAUUCAUUGCCUAGGCAAGGCAAAUGCUAGGAUUGAUGUGCAGGUUGUUAAAUCAUAUAUGACCACAGUCCAUUUAAUUGUUAACUCAUUCCCUACUUAGUGACUUGCUUACUUCUUUUCUAAUUUCAUUAUGGGCACAGUAUGUUAGAGAAGUGGCAUUCAAGACUCCACACCUUAAUGGCAGCACUGCCGAAUGCACCCGGAAAUUUUCAGAGGGAAAUACAUUCUUAUUAUUUGGUCAGCAUCAAUUUAUGGGUAAAAAGAAAAACUGAGAGUACGGGGAGAUGAGUUAUUAGCAUUUAUGACUGAACAAACUGUUGUCUAUGACAUCGGUUCAAGCCACUGUCGGCAGGUGAGAAACCACGCCACGAUCGUAGGACCUUGCUCUCCGUCCAUCUAAAAAAAGCCACCAUCGACCGGUUUUAACUCUCGGGUUCUUGCAUGUGAUAAAUAUAAAUUUCUGAAAUGGAUUUUAAAAAAUGGGUUUCGAAAAAUCCCCUCUUUGAUUUUUUAAUUGGUUUUUGAAAUGGGAUUGAUUCAAACAUCCACCACACGAUUUCAAGAAAAACCCAUAGAAAUUUUCUGAAAUGGGUUCACCAAUUUCCCAUCUUCGAUUUUUUAAAAUGGGUCUCUAAAAUGGGUUUCUGAAAGGAAUUAGUAAGACAAAUCUGAUAGAGGUUUGAGUCGGGGUAUGCGGAAAGGGCUAAACUUAAGGUUAUGAGAUUUGGGGCCCAACCCAUACUCAACUUGUUGCAAUCCCUAGCCAAGCACAGUCGAACAAAUUUUCUAAAGAAGAACUUGCCAGAUCUCAGUGGUAAUGAAUGCAUAAGUCUAAGCUAAACUGUCACUGAUCUAUUUAAAAGCUCCCUUAAGGGCAACCAUGCAAUGCUCCUAGUUACCUUUAAUCCUUCAUACAUGUAUAAAAUUUAAUGUUGGGGUAGGAAUAGUUAAGCGUUUAAAUCAGGACAACAUAGAAGUGAUUAUAGCACAACAUGGGUAGUGCUUAAAAAAUGGAAUAAAUUAGAUGAGUCUUUGUGCACUUUCACUUGCAUCAUAUACAAACAUCAUAUGGAAAUGCUCACCAACAAAAGUCUACGAAUAGAUGCAGUUCCUAUAUACAUGUUCACUUUCCUCAAUUAUGCAAGGUCUCUGGAAUGGAAACUACAACAAGGUUGCAUAACAAACAAGGUACUUUUUUCUUCUUUUCUUGUUUCAAGCUAUUGCUAAAACAAUAGUUACUUGAGUGCAGAUUUGAUUCCCUUUUGAUUCAUGUUCUAAAGCUUAUUAAAAUUAAAAUAUGCGCAGCGCCCAACAAUCUUUUAGUUAAGGCCCUAGAAUGGACACUAUGGUCCAGGUCAACACCUGAACAGAUUAAAAACAAUCAAGACAAAACUUUGCUUUAGGAUGCUAAUUAUAACUAUAUUCUGUGCAAUGUGUUACAUUAAGAAUAUUCUUGAUUAAAUUAUAGCUUAUAGGGCCCUCAUAUUUUUAAUCCGGUUGUGGAAGAUUUUACAAUCAAUGUUUUUCAAUGUAAUAACAUCACGUCCUUUCUGCGUUUGGCGUCGAAGCAGAUUCAAUCAUUUUGAUUUGAUCAAGUUCCAGCGUUGUAAAAUUACAAACAGAGAGCCAAAAUUUUGAUUUUGGGCCAAAACAUAAAUACUAAAACGCUCUCUACCAGUUGGUUCAUUAUUGUCCCUUUCCUUGACGAAUGAAAGCAUAUAUUCUACACGAGCUACUGAGUUUAGGAUCUUCUUUCAAUAAAGGAUUCAAAUUUAGCUUAUCGGACCCCAGCUCGAUUUGGCCUAAUCAGGUUGACAUGAUGUGUCUAUGUGUGUACCAAUGGAGCAAUUAGAUGACAGAUUUGGCAUUAUUCUGUAUCUAAUAAUAACAAUUCUCAGGUGAUGUCAUUUCGUGCGGUGCUAAACGACGGUUACACAAAUGCUUUUCGAUGUCAUUAUUCAGUUUGGAAGCUUUAUUUAAUUUUUCAGGUUUCUAGUACAUAAAAUGUGUACGGUUAAUGUCUUAACGCUAUAAGGCUAUAUGUAAUAACUAUUAUAUACAAUCAAUAAUUGCUUAUGUGACCAGAACAGAGUUGAUUCUUUGCCUGCAUUUUUUUGUUUUUGAAAGUAUUUGCUAGGAACAGAUAUGCUUGUUUGAUUUCUAUAUUAUUAGCCUCUCCUGUGCUAUCACAUUUUAAACAAAGGAACCAAUUUCUAGCAGCUUGAAAAAGUUGUGUUCCUGUAAAGUAAUUCAUUAGAACCUAGAUAUUUUGCAUUGUAACGAUUGUAGAAAACCGAAGUAUUAUUUUUUUUGCAGCAAUAAUUUUUUUUGGUGUGAAACGUUCAAACUUUUCAUAAACGAAGUAAAGUAAUAUUUAUUUUCUUAAUUUAACAUAAUUUUAUUCGACUUUACUUUUAAGCAAUCAACUUUUACUAGCAUUUACUUUGGGAAUUUGAGCAGUUACUUUUCUUUAAACCACACCAAGCCUUGUUCAGGUAAAUUAGAUUAUUUUUAUCGUGAUUUUUUUCAUCCUUUUGGUCAAUUUUUUUUGUACUUUUUCGAUUCCAUCUCGAUUAGAGGAAUUGGAAAGUUAAUUUUUUUUUUUAAAAACAACUAAAACCCAAAAUUAUCUUAAACUAAAAUAAAUGAGUAACAGGUUUACUUUACUUGUGUUUAUUUUCUGCUACUGUGAAUAUGCAAUAGUUUUCUGCUUGCAAAACGUUUUCAGUUGAACAUUGUUUGGAGCCUCAUCUGAUUUUUUAGAAAUACUUUGUGUUAAGAUUGUUGAGAUCAUGAUGAGGAAAGGGGAGGAAGUAAUUUGAGGGGUGGUUGCUUAUUGAACGAGACACACAGACAUGGGCGAUUUAUAUUCGUUAUGCCAUCUAACCAAUAUCAUGAUUUAGGUGUUAAGUCCUGCAAAAAAGGUCAAGAGGUGCCUUCUUCAUGUACUUGUAGCACCUUCUGUUUAGGUUAAUUUGGACAUUGAAAUGAUCUUCUUCUUUAAAGCAAUCUUGGCUUUAGAUUAUUCUAUAUCAAAUUAUUAAAAAGUUUAUCUUGCUGCAAUUUGGUGUGAUGCAUAGCAUGCUAACAUGAGUCUAUUUCUUCCUAAACACUGUAGAUUAUUCAAUCAUUAGAUCUAUCAUAUCAUGAAUUUUGUUCAGUCUCAUGAUUAAGCAAGGGUUAUUUAUUCCAAGUGUUGUUAUAUUAUAAAAAUUGGCUGCCUUCCCUUGACCCCUAUGUUUGGGUUAAAUUGAAAAUAAAUCCAUCAAUCCAUUUGGCAGCAAAUCUGGAGUUCUUGUCAUCCGAAUUUUAAUGUUGAGCAGUAUACAUCUUCUGUAUAUAAUGUUGGGGGUCCUCAAAUUUUAAUACUAUCUGUAUAUAUUAGACUUUCAGUUUUUUGAGGUGUCAUACAAAAUUUCACUCUCUUGCAGUUAUGUAUUGUUCUUUCCUGUUCUAUGUAUCAUAUAUGAUUUGUAGGUAGUGGUAGUUUUUGAAUUUGUUCUGUGUAUUUAUUUGAUUGUGGCAUGGGUGUAUAUCGACUGUUUUAAUGCUACGAGACUGGUUGGAAGCCUUCCUUUAUGGAGGUCAGGGUGCAUUCAAUAAAUUAAAUAGGGAUUACUUGCUUAGUCUGAGUUUAUGUUAAUUGCUUUUAAAUGCUACACUGUGUAGGAUGUCUUACUCAUGCACAAGUUGUCAACCCAGUUCAAAAUGAUGAGGUCGGGCUUUUCAUUGCAAACAAACUGGAAAAAGCUUAAAUUAUUCAUCUUUAGUGGAGGGGCUGCUUGCCAUUGUUUGCUUCUUUUAUUUGUUUGCCCUAGAAUAUUUCCAAUUAAAAUGUUUCCCUUAAUUUAUAAUGCAAGAUGGCUGCUAGGUUUAUAUCUUGCAAAAUUAAAAUAGGAUCUAAUUACAUUAUCUGUUUUUCUUUUCACAGAUUCCCCCCCUCCCUUCGUUUAUCCCUCAAUAUUACACGUACUAUGGGGCACACAAUUUAGAAGUUUGAUUUGAACAAAGAACGACCAGUGAGGGCACUGUGUAAUGGUAAGAAAUCACAUGAAGAAUAGCUACAAGUUUGUGGGGAAAGGGAAAGCGCUCAGUUAUUUGAUCUUCGAUUUAUACAACUCUUCAUUUCACUCUUUGAUCCUAUUCAAAACCUUCUUUAUUGAUUACUCAUUUAAUUUCUUGAUUUCUCAUACAAUGUAUAGAUUGGGCUAAAGAGGGGCGGAGGUGAAGCACUACCUAUUUGUUCGCGGCCUGAAUAUUUUUUGCAAUCUCCACCCAUUAACUAUUGAGGUGGUACGUAACAAUUGUUUUAAAUUUUGUGUAUUUAUCUUGGGCUGUAAUUAACUUGAACGUGAAGUUUCCCGGGUUCAAUUUCAAUUUCAACUUAAUUCGGUAUUAUUAGUCAAUGUCUUAUGUUGUACUUUGUCUAUUUCAAAUUAUGUUGAUUUGAAUUUUUGAGUAAUGAGUAGCUAAUGUUUUGUAUUUAUUUUGUUUUGCGAGAACUAAUGAUAUUGACUAAGUACUCUCAAAUACAUAUCUCCACAUCUUUAAAUAUUGAGGUACGUAACAAUUAUUUUAAAUUUUGUAUAUUUAUCUUGGGUCGUAAUUAACUUGAGGUCGAAAUUCCCCGGGUUCAAUUUCAAGAUCAAGUUAUUAGGUAUUAUUAGACAAUGACUUAUGUCGUAAUUUGUCUAUUUCAAAUUAUACUGAUUUAAAUUUUUGAGUAAUAAGUAAUGACUGUUUUGCAUUUAUUUUGUUUUUCCAGGACUAAUGCUACUUACUAUAAGUACUCUCUAAUACAUAUCUCCACACCUUUAAAUAUUGAGGUACGUAACAAUUAUUUUAAAUUUUGUAUAUUUUUCUUGUGCCGUAAUUAACUUGAGCUUAAACUUCCCCAGUUUCAAUUUCAAGCUCAAAUUAAUUAAGUAUUAUUAGACAACGUCUUAUGUUUGUUUAUUUCAAAUUAUGAUGAUUUGAAUUUUUAAGAAAUAAGUAGUGACUAUUUUGCAUUUGUUUUUUUUGCAAGGACUAAUGCUAUUGACUAGAUACUCUCAAAUACAUAUCUUCACACUUUUAAAUAUUGAGGUACGUAAUAAUUAUUUUAAAUUUUGUAUAUUUAUUUUGGGUCUUAAUUAACUUGAGUUCGAAGUUCUCCGGGUUCAAUUUCAAGCUCAAGUUAAUUAGGUAUUAUUAGACAAUGUCUUAUGUUGUAGUUUGUCUGUUUCAAAUUAUGUUAAUUUGAAUUAUUCAGGAAAAAGUAGUGACUGUUUUGCAUUUGUUUUGUGUUGCGAAGACUAAUGCUAUUGACUAGGUACUCUCAAAUACAUAUCUCCACACCUUUAAUUAUUAAGGUACAUACCAAUUGUUUUAAAUUUUGUAUAUUUAUUUUGGGUCAUAAUUAACUUGAGCUCAAAGUUCUACGGGUUUAAUUUCAAGUUUAAGUUAAUUAGGUAUUAUUAGUCAACGUCUUAUGUUUGUUAUUUCAAAUUAUGGUCAUUUAAAUUUUUGUGGAAUAAGUAGUGACUGUUUUGCAUAUGAUUUUUGCGAGGACUAAUGCUAUUGACUAGGUGCUCUCAAAUAUAUAUCUCCACACAUUUACAUAUUGAGGUACGUAACAAUUGUUUUAAAUUUUGUAUAUUUAUUUUGGGUCGUAAUUAACUCGAGCUCGAAAUUUUUCGGGUUUAUUUUCAAGUUCAAGUUAAUUAGGCAUUUUUACACAAUGUCUUAUAUUGUACUUUGUCUAUUUUAAGUUAUGCUAAUUCGAAUUAUUGAGGAAAAAGUAGUGACUGUUUUUUAUAUUUUUUGUUUUGUGAGGACUAAUGCUAUUGACUAGGUACUCUCAAAUCCAUAUCUCUACACCUUUAAGGUUUGAGGUACGUAACAAUUGUUUUAAAUUUUUUAUAUUUAUUUUGGGUAGUAAUUAACUUGAGCUCGAAGUUCCCCAGGUUUAAUUUCAAGUUUAAGUUAAUUAGGUAUUAUUAGUCAACGUCUUAUGUUUGUUUAUUUCAAAUUAUGGUGAUUUGAAUUUUUAAGGAAUAAGUAACGAUUGUUUUGCAUUUAUUGUUUUGCGAUGACUAAUGCUAUUGACUAGGUACUCUCAAAUACAUAUCUCCACACCUUUAAAUUUUGAGGUACGUAACAAUUGUUUUGAAUUUUUUAUAUUUAUUUUGGGUAGUAAUUAACUUGAGCUCGAAGUUCCCUGGGUUUAAUUUCCAGCUUAAGUUAAUUAGGUAUUAUUAGUCAACGUCUUAUGUUUCUUUAUUUCAAAUUAUGGUGAUUUGAAUUUUUUUUGAGCAAUAAGUUGUGACUGUUUUGCAUUGUCUUAUUUUGCGAGGAGUAAUACUGUUGACUAUAUACUCUCAAAUAUAUAUCUGCACACCUUUAAAUAUUAAGGUACGUAACUAUUGUUUUAAAUUUUGUAUAUUUAUUUUGGGUCUUAAUAACUAGAGCUCAGAAGUUCGGGGAAGGUGAAUGGAGUGGGGAGGUCAGACAGAGAGGUGUGGAAUUGCGAGAAGAGAAAUAGGGGGGGGAAACGGAGUGCGGGUAGAGUUUAAGCUGGGCACUCCGGUUCAGUUUCAAGUCUCAAUUUAAUUAGGUAUAUUUAGAUAAUGUCUUAUGUUGUACUUUAUCUAUUUUAAAUUAUGCUAAUAUGAAUUAUUGAGGAAAAAAGUAGUGACUGUUUUGCAUUUUUUUUGUUUUGCGGGGACUAUGCUAUUGACUAGGUACUCUCAAAUACAUAUCUCCACACCUUUAAAUAUUGAGGUAUGUAAUAAUUGAUUUGAAAAAAAAAAAAUUUUUUUUUUUUUUUUUUUAAUAUUUAUUUUAAGGUCCGUAAUUAACUUGAGCUUGAUGUUCCCCAGGUUCAAUUUCAAGCUCAGUUAAUUACGUAUUAUUAGUCAACGUCUUAUGUUUGUUUAUAUCAAAUUAUGGUGAUUUGAAUUUUUGAGCAAUAAGUUAUGACUGUUUUGCAUUGUCUUAUUUUGCGAGGAGUAAUACUGUUGACUAUAUACUCUCAAAUACAUAUCUCCACACCUUUAAAUAUUAGGUACGUACCUAUUGUUUUAAAUUUUGUAUAUUUAUUUUGGGUCAUAAUUAACUUGAGCUCAAAGUUCUACGGGUUUAAUUUCAAGUUUAAGUUAAUUAGGUAUUAUUAGUCAACAUCUUAUGUUUGUUUAUUUCAAAUUAUGGUCAUUUAAAUUUUUGUGGAAUAAGUAGUGACUGUUUUGCAUUUGAUUUUUUGCGAGGACUAAUGCUAUUGACUAGGUGCUCUCAAAUAUAUAUCUCCACACAUUUACAUAUUGAGGUACGUAACAAUUGUUUUAAAUUUUGUAUAUUUAUUUUGGGUCGUAAUUAACUCGAGCUCGAAAUUUUUCGGGUUUAUUUUCAAGUUCAAGUUAAUUAGGCAUUUUUACACAAUGUCUUAUAUUGUACUUUGUCUAUUUUAAGUUAUGCUAAUUCGAAUUAUUGAGGAAAAAAGUAGUGACUGUUUUGCAUUUGUUUUGUGUUGCGAAGACUAAUGCUAUUGACUAGGUACUCUCAAAUCCAUAUCUCUACACCUUUAAGUUUGAGGUACGUAACAAUUGUUUUAAAUUUUGUAUAUUAUUUUGGGUAGUAAUUAACUUGAGCUCGAAGUUCCCCAGGGUUAAUUCAAGUUUAAGUAAUUAGGUAUUAUUAGUCAACGUCUUAUGUUUGUUUAUUUCAAAUUAUGGUGAUUUGAAUUUUUAAGGAAUAAGUAACGAUUGUUUUGCAUUUAUUGUUUUGCGAUGACUAAUGCUAUUGACUAGGUACUCUCAAAUACAUAUCUCCACACCUUUAAAUUUUGAGGUACGUAACAAUUGUUUUGAAUUUUUUAUAUUUAUUUUGGGUAGUAAUUAACUUGAGCUCGAAGUUCCCUGGGUUUAGUUCUUCCCGCUGUAUAGUUGUAAUUUAGGUAUAUUAGUCAACGUCUUAUGUUUCUUUAUUUCAAAUUAUGGUGAUUUGAAUUUUUGAGCAAUAAGUUGUGACUGUUUUGCAAGGAGUAAAGUUAUUGACUAUAUACUCUCAAAUAUAUAUCUGCACACCUUUAAAUAUUAAGGUACGUAACUAUUGUUUUAAAUUUUGUAUAUUUAUUUUGGGUCUUAAUUAACUAGAGCUCGAAGUUUCCCGGGUUCAGUUUCAAGCUCAAGUUAAUUAGGUAUAUUUAGAUAAUGUCUUAUGUUGUACUUUGUCUAUUUUAAAUUAUGCUAAUAUGAAUUAUUGAGGAAAAAAGUAGUGACUGUUUUGCAUUUUUUUUGUUUUGCGGGGACUAAUGCUAUUGACUAGGUACUCUCAAAUACAUAUCUCCACACCUUUAAAUAUUGAGGUAUGUAACAAUUGAUUUGAAUUUUGUAUAUUUAUUUUAGGUCGUAGUUAACUUGAGCUUGAUGUUCCCCAGGUUCAAUUUCAAGCUCAGUUAAUUACGUAUUAUUAGUCAACGUCUUAUGUUUGUUUAUAUCAAAUUAUGGUGAUUUGAAUUUUUGAGCAAUAAGUUAUGACUGUUUUGCAUUGUCUUAUUUUGCGAGGAGUAAUACUGUUGACUAUAUACUCUCAAAUACAUAUCUGCACACCUUUAAAUAUUAAGGUACGUAACUAUUGUUUUAAAUUUUGUAUAUUUAUUUUGGGUCUUAAUUAACUAGAGCUCGAAGUUUCCCGGAUUCAGUUUCAAGCUCAAGUUAAUUAGGUAUUUUUAGAUAAUGUCUUAUGUUGUAGUUUGUCUAUUUUAAAUUAUGCUAAUAUGAAUUAUUGAGAAAAAAGUAGUGACUGUUUUGCAUUUUUUUUGUUUUGCGAGAACUAAUACUAUUGAUUAGGUACUCUCAAAUACAUAUCUCCACACCUUUAAAUUUUGAGGUAAGUAACAAUUGUUUUAAAUUUUGUAUAUUUAUUUUGGGUCGUAAUUAACUUGAGUUUGAAGUUCCCCAAGUUCAAUUUCAAGCUCAAGUUAAUUACAUAUUAUUAGUCAACGUAUUAUGUUUGUUUAUUUCAAAUUAUAGUGAUUUGAAUUUUUGAGCAAUAAGUUGUGACUGUUUUGCAUUGUCUUGUUUUGCGAGGACUAAUGCUAUUGACUAUAUACUCUCAAGUACAUAUCUUCACACCUUUAAAUAUUAAGGUACAUAACAAUUAUUUUAAAUUUUGUAUAUUUAUUUUGGAUCUUAAUUAAUUAGAGCUCGAAGUUUCCUGGGUUCAGUUUCAAGCUCAAGUUAAUUAGAUAUUUUUAGAUAAUGUCUUAUGUUGUACUUUGUCUAUUUUAAAUUAUGCUAAUAUGAAUUAUUGAGGAAAAAAGUAGUGACUGUUUUGUAUUUUUUUUGUUUUGCGAGGACUAAUGCUAUUGAUUAGGUACUCUCAAAUACAUAUCUCUACACCUUUAAAUUUUGAGGUACGUACCAAUUGUUUUAAAUUUUGUAUAUAUAUUUUGGGUCGUAAUUAACUUGAGCUCGAAGUUCCCCGGGUUUAAUUUCCAGCUUAAAUUAAUUAGGUAUUAUUAGUCAACGUCUUAUGUUUGUUUAUUUCAAAUUAUGGUGAUUUGAAUUUUUGAGGAAUAAGUAGUGACUGUUUUGCAUUUGACUUUUUGGCGAGAACUAAUACUAUUGACUAGGUAUUCUCAAAUACAUAUCUUCACACCUAUAAAUAUUGAGGUACGUAACAAUUGAUUUAAAUUUUGUAUAUUUAUUUUGGGUCGUAAUUAAUUUUAGCUUAAAGUUCUCCAGGUUCAAUUUCAAGCUCAAGUUAAUUAAGUAUUAUAGUCAAUGUCUUAUGUUUGUUUAUUUCAAAUUAUGGUGAUUCGAUUUUUUGAGUAAUAAGUUGUGACUGUUUAGUAUUGUCUUGUUUUGCGAGGAUUAAUGCUAUUGACUAUAUACUCUCAAAUACAUAUAUGCACUCCUUUAAAUAUUAAGGUACGUAACUAUUGUUUUAAAUUUUGUAUAUUUAUUUUAGGUUGUAAUUAACUUGAGCUCGAAGUUCCCCGGGUUUAAUUUCAAGCUUAAGUUAAUUAGGUAUUGUUUGUCAACUUCUUAUGUUUGUUUAUUUCAAAUUAUGGUGAUUUGAAUUUUUGAGGAAUAAGUAGUGACUGUUUUGCAUUUGGUUUUUUGGCGAGGAUUAAUGCUAUUGACUAGGUACUCUCAAAUACAUAUCUCUACACCUUAAAAUAUUGAGGUACGUAACAAUUGAUUUAAAUUUUGUAUAUUUAUUUUGGGUCGUAAUUAACUUGAGCUUGAAGUUCCUUGCUUCAAUUUCAAGCUCAAGUUAAUUACACAUUGUCUUAUUUUGCGAGGAGUAAUGAUGUUG